AAGCCUUUUAUGGAUACAUGGUGUAAACGAAGUAAGAAAUCGAAGCUUAUGCGAGGGGUUAACCUAAUUCCAAGUGCUACUUUUACGCUUCAGCUGAGAUUUCUUUGCAACAGUAUGUUUAUUGCGCUCUAUCUUGCAAGAGGGUAUGCACCUGGUUAGAUCUCACUGUACCAUGACUGCAGUUUGGAUCUCAUUCUACCAUGACCUAGCUUGUUGCCGUGAGGCGCUCAAGAAAGGACUUCUACAGAGACUCUUGUUGAAUUUAUGUGCCCAUACCUCUACUGGAUUUGAUCAGGCCAGAGUGGGGAGGUUGACUAGAAUAUUAUCUCAGCCACUUCAUGGCUGUCGGUCUAAUCUUGUCUAUGGUUGAUCUCAAUUCUUGGAUGGUCUUCCGCUUCUAGUAUUGACACCCCGAAGUCUUGCCUAACUUUGCCAUAAAUUACCUGUAUGUUGCUGAUAACUUGUUCUGCUUUGGCUCCUUGCACGCUCUGAAAAAUAAUAAAGGGAAGGAAAAGGUUAUUGAAGUAGCAGAAAUGUCACAUUCUGCUGUACGGUCAAUAGAGUGCAAUGUUCCAACAAUGUUCCAGUUCUAUUGUUUAUGAAGCUCUUGAAUCAUCACAAUAUUUUCUAUCUAGAUCAGCUAACGUGUUUUUUUGUUGGUCUGUAGGUUCUCUAAGGUUGUAUGUGUCGGAAGCAGGAUGGAUUAACUGGUCAAAUCACCUGAGCUUGAAAAAUCAUUUUCUGGCAUGGGUCAAAACAAGUCUGGUUAGGUUGAUCUGCAUUUUUAUCUAGUUUGUUUCUUGUCAUUUGCCCUUGUCGAUUAUCUUUUUGCCAGUAGACUAAAACAAGCAGUAGUGUAAUCAAAUUAUUAAUUAAGAGUUUUCAAAGUAAAACUGAAUAAUACACUUGAGCAAAAGGCAUGUUUGGUCGCUUGGAGCGAGAAAUCAGAUGCUUGAAUAGGUCGAUUACUUGGCAAUACAUUGUUACUCUGAAUUCCUUGUGAUGGCUUGCUUGAAAAUAUAUUCUUCAAUA